GGCCCCGUAGCCAAGUGGUAAGGCACGGCACUGCAACUGCCAGAUCAUCGGUUCAAAUCCGUUCGGGGCCUCCA
rnacentral:tRNA from 1 species